rnacentral:rRNA from 1 species
AGUAAAAGUCGUAACAAGGUUUCCGUAGGUGAACCUGCGGAAGGAUCAUUAACGAUUGCUAUAAAUGCAAAGACAAAAAGCUCACUGGAUUGAACGCUAAAACUCCUGACGAGUUCAGGAAGGAUGCUGCCUUUCACGGCCAUCGUGGUCGUUGCGCUCUGCGCUGCGAACGAUGUAAAACAAACAACCGAUGGCCUCUCAUACAGUAUAAUAUCUCUCGCCAUGGCAUACAGGCCUGGCAUCUGGUACGAGUCUCUCGCAGUCUCAAAACCAACCUUACAACUCUGAGCGGUGGAUCACUUGGCUUGUGGAUGCUAUGAAGACCAUAGCUAAGUGUGAGAAUGGCAGCGAGCCGUCGCUAUAUGCGCUGUCCUCUUCUUAUCACAUGUCGAAUGCACAUUGCGCCCCACCCAGCGGUCGGCUAAACAACCUGCAGACAAAAGCCUGUGAGUUGGAACAAAGGCUAAUGUGUGGCCCUCGAGCAACGGCGGGGGAGCCAGGAGCACAUGAGCGUGCGGACCAACUACUCGUGAGUAGUCAGGCUUGACCCUAUGGUGGGGCACUCCUAGUCGAGUGUGGUGGAUCGGACUCACAUCUCUUGUUGCGCGUUCGCGCGUGAUGGAGUUUGAGUUUCUUUGUUGCUGGUGGCAUUUGGGUCGACAUCAGUCGUGCCCGUAAACAACUGCCUUGGCUCGUGCCUCUGUGCGUAUACCUCUCGAAGGAGCGUACAUUGAAGGCCAUAGCUGGCGAUCACUCUUGCGGCCAGGGCACUACUUCGGUAGUGCGCACAGGUCCAAAAGGAACUGAUAAUACGAGAAUCGGGUCUCUAUACUAUACCCGGCUUCUGAGACACAAUUGUGGAGUGAUGAUCACAUGGUUUUCGAGGGUACUGCUAUUCCGCUAAUGGCUGGUAAGGCUGGCGUCCGAGCCUCAUCUCUUUUGAACAGCACACACACAUACUAGACUGCAACACCUGACGAGAUCAGGAUGGUCUGGGAGUGAGUGUGUCAAAAGUAACAAUUAUGCGGGCAGCCUCGCGUCACAUGUCUGUAUCGGGUGUGAUGAUCAUGUUGGUUAUUGAGGGCACUGUGUUAACCGUUACUCUGGCAAGGGUUGUGUUUCUCGUAGUAUUCGGGAAUGACACUAUCUUUUCCACUUUUGCAAGACGCACAAGGACAAGGAAUGAGGACUGAAAGCCUGACGAGAUCAGGUAAUACAGUGCGGCAAAAGUAACAGAGUGGCCGGCAGCCUCGCAUCGCUCCACUUGUUGUACUUCUGUGUGACGUGGUGAUCACAUGAUUUUCUAGACGAACGCAAAAUGCGGUAUCUGGCAGGGUGUAGUCCCAAACCUAAAGUCUUUUGCAUGCACACACACACACACGCGUACCAGACAGUGCCUCCCCUGACGAGAUCAGGAAGGAUGGUCUGAGAGAGUGUGUGUGUGGCUCAGAAGUAACAGAUAUCAGCAGCGAGCCUAGCAUCACAUGUCCGUAUCGGGUGUGGUGAUCAUGUUGGUUAUCGAGAUAGUGCAUUAACCGUUGCUCCCGGUAAUGGCUCUUGUCUCUCGUAGUAAUCGAGAUUAAGACUCGAGCCUUACCACUUUUGCAAGAACGCACAGGACUGAACGCCUGACGAGAUCAGGUAAGUGCGCCUAAAGUAACAGGAGCGGCCGGCAUCUCGCAUCACUGAACACGUUGUACUUUCGUGUCACUCCGCUUGUUCUACUUCUGUGUGACGUGGUGAUCACAUGAUUUACUAGAUGAACGCAAUUGCCGUAUCUGGCAGGGUGUAGUCCACAAACCCAAUGUCUUUUGCAUGCUCACACACACGCGUACCAGACAGGGCCUCCCCUGACGAGAUCAGGAAGGAUGGUCUGAGAGAGUGUGUGUGGCUCAGAAGUAACAGAUACGCCGCGAGCCUAGCAUCACAUGUCCGUAUCGGGUGUGGUGAUCAUGUUGGUUAUUGAGGCAUUGCAUUAACCGUUGCUCCCGGUAAUGGCUCUUGUUUCUCGUAGUAAACGAGAUUAAGACUCGAGCCUUACCACUUUUGCAAGAACGCACAGGACUGAACGCCUGACGAGAUCAGGUAAGUGCGCCUAAGUAACAGGAGCGGCCGGCAACUCGCAUCACUGAACACGUUGUACUUACAUGUGGAAGAGAUGAAGACGGGCGAAGGAAAGAGACCUGGUUUCUUGUAUGUUUGCAUUUGCCACCACCUCGACUUAGGAGAGGUUACCCGCUGAACUUAAGCAUAUCAGUAAGCGGAGGAAAAGAAACCAAUCAGGGAUUCCCUUAGUAGGGGCGACCGAACAGGGAUGAGCCCAGCGCAGAACCUCCCGGGCCACCCGGCCUGCGGCGGAAUGUUGCGUUAAGGGAAAGGUCGUAGUCAAACCCCACAGCCACGCGAGCUCUAAGUAAGUCACGAAUUGGCUAUCCCAACUAACGGCGGGAAAAUCUCCACGGAGGGUGUAAGACCCGUGUGGGCGCGUGUAAAUGCUGUGUGGGCUCGGCCUCUUUUCCCUGAGAGUCGCGUUGCUUGAGCAUGCAGCGCUAAGCAGGUCGUAAACUCGAUCUAAGGCUAAAUAUGUCCACAAGACCGAUAGCGAACAAGUACCGUGAGGGAAAGUUGAAAAGCACUCUGAAGAGAG